UAAACCAAUAAAUACAGGACUAGAAAGACUAAGAAAUAAGCAUUGAUUUGUGACUAAACUCCUCCAAGUUUUCCGUUUCUAUGAGAUGUCCAGCCCCAUCUCUGCUCAGGAGAAGUCUAAAGUCCACAGUCCAUUCCUCAGCAGGUAGCCCUGAUCUUUUGCAUGAGGAAGUCUGGAGAAGUUAAAGGAAGUCAGAGGAUGUGCUUCAUGACUCAGAUGCUUGAUGGAGUCCUUCACCCUCCAAACAUGAAGCCAGACAUUAAUACAACUCCAGUGCAUUGAGAAGAAGAAAAGGCUAUCAAGGAAUAAAAAAUGGACCAGAAUAUGGCAGAAAAUAACUAAGCCAAGCACAAGCACUACCCAAAUUUAUCAAUUUAUUGCACAUCUUCAGACAGCAAAGGAUGUAAACAUGGAAGAUUUGGACUGUUUUGAUCCUGAAAGUGUCACCUGCCAAGAAAUUCGCACCACAAGGAACAGCCUUUUCAGAAUUACUGUCAAGAAGGUGGUGGGAUGGGAAAGAAAUAGAGAAAUGUCCUGCUGGUAGUUUCUCCAUUUCUCCUUCCUCCUCCUGCUUGGAUGCCAGCAGAGGGAGCGGUCUGCAGUUCCAAGAGAGUUGCUGCUUUCAGCCUGGCGUGUGCUACUGCAGGCACAGGGAUGCACCACACCAUCAGCAGAGAUGGAAGAGCAUUAACACCCAGAGAUGUGAUACCUUACAGUAAAUUCAGUUAAUCUCUUAGUGCUAGCUAAAUAAAGGAUAACUGUAAAAAUGUCAUCUCAUGAUGAUUCAUCUCUCAAUUCUACGUCUCUUUUGCUUCCACCUUUUAUCCUAUGUCUUUAUUCUUUCUUGGGGAAAGGGAUAAAAUUUAAACUAACUCUUUUUGCUCAGAGAAAUGUAAAAAAAUGCAACCCCUCUCCUCUCUGUAA